AUUGAACGCUGGCGGCAUGCUUUACACAUGCAAGUCGAACGGCAGCGCGGUCUUCGGCCUGGCUGCGAGUGGCGAACGGGUGAGUAAUGCAUCGGAACGUGCCCAGUAUUGGUGGAUAGCCCGGCGAAAGCCGGAUUGAUACCCCAUACGACCUGAUGGUGCAAGCGGGGGAGCGAAAGGCCUCGUGCUAGUGUGGCGGCCGAGGUGGGAUUAGCUAGAUGGGGGGGUAAAGGCUUACCAAGGCGGCGAUACGUCGCUGGUCUGAGAGGACGACCAGCCAGACUGGGGGGGAGACACGGCCCAGACUCCUAAGGGAAGCAGCAGUGGGGAAUUUUGGACAAUGGGGGGGACCCUAAUCCAGCCAUGCGGCGUGCGGGAAGAAGGCCUCCGGGUUGGAAACCGCUUUUGUUCGGGAAGAAAUCCUCUGGGCUAAUACCCCGGGGGGAUGACGGUACCGGAAGAAUAAGCACCGGCUAACUACGUG
rnacentral:rRNA from 1 species